rnacentral:lncRNA from 1 species
UCUCACCCUGGGAUGCAUCUGCAGGAAAAGGCAUUCCCAGAAGGAAGGGAGGGCAUUCAUCAUCCAGUCCCAGUGUCAGGGCCGGGCCUCGCCCUCCCACCACUCGGGAUCAGUGACUACCAUCUGUUCCUUUAAUAUUUCUCUGAGCAUCUCGCUGGUGAGGGGGACCAGCCCAGGAAGGCAAGAGAACAGAGGAUAUGGAGCCAGAAGCCUAAAGACAUUAAUCAUGUCCCGUGGUUGCAGACAGGCCCUGGGGGCAGUUUGGAGAAAGGGGACAGGCAAGUAUACAGCCAGGGGGCCUGGAGUCCCAUGUGGACCACAGACUGGAGAGUCAACCGAGGGGUGACAGCGCCCACGGAGAAGCACCCUGGCACCUGCAUGGCCCUGAGAGUGAGAGCCCUGUUAAACGUUACACGCCCUCUAGGUGCUUCACUUGACUCACCCUAGUCCUGCUGAGGGCCGUGCGUGUCACUGAGGGUGACAGAAGGUCCCUGCCUCGCUGUUCCGUGUCCCUCCCUCUUCUCUGCACAGCUGUGGUCAUCCAAGCCCCACUUGUACAACCAGCCGGCUCAGGCUCCAGGACAGUCCUGUCCCCGCUGAGGGCGUGAAAGUGUUCUGGGCACAGCAGAUUAAGGAGGGGCCAUCUCCCAGCCGACGCAGAAGAGAGGCCGUGGUCACCCAGAAUGGCCCGGGGCUGGCAGCUGGAACAACUUUCCCAGAGACCUGGGUGGAGGAGGUGUCCUCUCAUCCUCGCCAUCAGCAAAUCCUGCCUGGUCCCCCUGACACUCACUCCAGGAGAGGACAGUCUGGAAAGACAUUGAGACAGGCUGGGCCUCUGCUCAACACAAGAGAGAGCUCCCAGUCCCAGUGGACCACAAGCUGAUAGCCAUGUGCCUUCGUCUACCUUUUCCCUUUUUUCUCCUUCUCUGCCCUCUCUUUCUCCAGGCAGUCGCUGAUCUGCUUUCUGUCACUAUAGAUUAGUUUACAUUUUCUAGAAGUCUACAUAACUAGAAUUCUAGAGCAUGUACUCUUUGGUCUGGUUUCUUUCACUCAGCCUAAUUACUUUUAGUUUCACCCACAUGUUUUGUAUAUAAAGAGUUUGUUCCUGGGCCCGGCCCCGUGGCCGAGUGGUUGGGUUUGCACGCUCCACUUUGGCAGCCCAGGGAUUCGCUGGUUGGGAUCCUGGGUGCCAACCUAGCACCGCUCCUUGUCAGGCCAGGCUGACGCGGCUUCCCACAUGCCACAACCAGAAGGACCAGCACUAGAAUAUACAAGUAUGGACUGGGGGGCUUUGGGGAGAAGAAGAAGGAAAAAGAAAACAAGAUUGGCAACAGAUGUUAGCUCAGGUGCCAAUCUUUUAAAAAAAUAAAAAGAGUUUUUCCUUUUUAUUGAUGAAUAGC